rnacentral:tRNA from 1 species
GGGAUCUUAGCUCAGAGGUAGAGCGCUCCCUUUACACGGGAGAUGUCGGAAGUUCGAUCCUUCCAGGUCCUACCA